GACGAACGCUGGCGGCGUGCUUAACACAUGCAAGUCGAACGAAGUGGCGAACGGGUGAGUAACGCGUAAUCAACCUGCCCUUCAGAGGGGGACAACAGUUGGAACCGACUGCUAAUACCCCAUACUGAAGGAGGGGAUUGCGUCGGAUUAGCUAGUUGGAGGGGUAACGGCCCACCAAGGCGAAGAUCAGUAGCCGGUCUGAGGUGAUGAACGGCCAACACGGGAAGGAGAAACGGCCCAGACCUCUACGGGAGGCAGCAGGGGGGAAGCUUCCGCAAUGGAGGAAAGUCUGACGGAGCAACGCCGCGUGAGUGAUGAAGGCCUUCGGGUUGUAAAGGUAUGUUAAUCGGGACGCGGUACCGGAAUAGAAAGCAACGGCUAACUACGUGCCAGCAGCCGCGGUAAUAC
rnacentral:rRNA from 1 species